rnacentral:rRNA from 1 species
GAUAAACGCUGGCGGCGUGCCUAACACAUGCAAGUCGAACGCCCUACGCUUGCGUAGGGAGUGGCGGACGGGUGAGGAACACGUGGGUCAUCUACCCAGAGGUGAGGAAUACCGGCGAGAAAUCGCCGACAAUACCGCAUACGUUCUGAAAAGAACAAAGUCGCAAGACGCCUUUGGAUGAGCCUGCGCCCGAUUAGUUAGUUGGUGGGGUAAAAGCCUACCAAGACUGCAAUCGGUAGCUGGUCUGAGAGGACGAUCAGCCACACUGGGAUUGAGAACGGCCCAGACUCCUACGGGGGGC